UCUGGCUCAGGAUGAACGCUGGCGGCGUGCCUAACACAUGCAAGUCGAGCGGAGAUAUGAGGGAUUCUUUAGAUGAUCUCCUUAUCUAGCGGCGGAUGGGUGAGUAACACGUGGGUAACCUGCCCUGCACAGGGGGAUAACAGCUGGAAACGGCUGUUAAUACCGCAUAUGCACACGGUGCCGCAUGGCAUUGGGUGGAAAGAUUUAUCGGUGCAGGGAUGGGCCCGCGUCGGAUUAACUAGUUGGCAGGGUAACGGCCUACCCAAGGUGAUGAUCCGUAGCCGACCUGAGAGGGUGACCGGCCACAUUGGGACUGAGACACGGCCCAAACUCCUACGGGAGGCAGCAGUGGGGGAUAUUGCACAAUGGGCGGAAGCCCUGAUGCAGCGACGCCGCGUGAAGGAAGAAGUAUUUCGGUAUGUAAACUUCUAUCAGCGGGGAAGAAGAUGACGGUACCCGACUAAGAAGCCCCGGCUAACUACGUGCCAGCCGCGGC
rnacentral:rRNA from 1 species